GGAGUUGUAGCUUAAGUUUAGAGCUUCGAGCUUUUAACUCGAGUGUGGGUUUAUCCCUGACUUCA
rnacentral:tRNA from 1 species